ensembl:lncRNA
UGUUUAGUCUGUGUCUAGAACUAGCUUUAGAUGUUUAGUCUAGAACUAACUUUAGAUGUUUAGUCUAGAACUAGCUUUAGAUGUUUAGUCUGUGUCUAGAACUAGCUUUAGAUUUUUAGUCUGUGUCUAGAACUAGCUUUAGAUGUUUAGUCUAGAACUAGCUUUAGAUGUUUAGUCUGUGUCUAGAACUAGCUUUAGAUGUUUAGUCUGUGUCUAGAACUAGCUUUAGAUGUUUAGUCUGUGUCUAGAACUAGCUUUAGAUGUUUAGUCUGUAACUAGCUUUAGAUGUUUAGUCUGUGUAUAGAACUAGCUGUAGAUGUUUAUUCUGUGUAUAGAGCUAGCUGUAGAUGCUUAGACUGUACCUAUAUUUAUUCUCUGUAUGGAGUUGGCGCUGAACUGUCUCUGGGUCUAGGACAUGUUCUCUGUCAGAAUCUGUCUCUAGAAGCAAGAGGCAUCCCAAAAUGCAAUGUAAUAAAAUGUAAUGCUUCAACUACAGUGAGCAUGUUGUAUGCAGAGCCUAUAUUCCUCCUGAAGCUGACAAGUCCAUAAUUUCAGAUUUAUAUUCCGAAGCACCACAUCAAUUUGUUUAGAGAUAUAUACAAGAUAGUGAUGGUUUCACCUCCUUUCAGAUUUUGGUGUCAGCAAGGUGUCAGAUCGAGUCUUCAGUAAAAAGGAUUAUCAAUCUGCUGAUUUCUGCUUUCCACUCGUCUUGGCCUGUGAGGUUAUUAUGCAUUCCUGCACUUGGUGCAAAAACACAGCCGCUCAGGUGUUACUUUAAUCUAAACCUAUCAGAGUCUUUCCAUACAAGCACAGUUGCUCAUUUGACCUUGCCUGUCUUCUCCUUUCUGUUUUGCAGGGUGAAACUACGCAUGAAGCAUGGAGUCUCACAUUAACCUUCAGUACAACAUGACGUUCAACAAGCGGCACAUUCAAGUCUCACACACACACACACACACACAUACACACACAGUCACACACUUUCAGUCCGUACAGGGCCAUUUGGUGUUGCUGAUACCUGUGUAGCUUCUAUUGCUUAAAGUCAAAAAGUAGCAUUUAACAUUUGAUAUGUAGUAAAACAAAUUGGAUUUUGCGCAUUGACAAAGAGAGCAAAUGCUGUUUGCCUUGUUCCCAGUUAUAGAUUGAUCAAACCCUGCAUCACUCACUUUUUUCUGUCCGCUUUUAUUUCUGAUAACGGUUUUGAAUUCUCGUUUUAUAAUCUGACUGUUUUUCCGAUGUUUUUUUUUUUUUUUUUAUACAGCAUGAAUAGAAAUAACCUCAGACGUUCUAGUAGCGUAAACCUCGUUUCGACAGCAUCAGUCGCAAAGACUCGAGAAUCACUGAGCAUGGUUUGGAAUUAUAUACAGUCGGCUAAUCUGCUUGAAGAUCUGCGUGAUGGCCAUUGGCUCUGACAAGCUUCCAGCUCCACCACUGACACCAGCAUGCAGAGCUUUGCCUCAUGUUCCAACUCACACCUAAUGGAAUGUGAAGAGCUUAAGAGCAGAACCGGCAAGGAAGCUACCGUCAGUGUGUCCAGCGUAGUCAGCCUCUCUUUCUUUCCCUCGUCUUCUCCACCAGCGCACCAGCUCGGACUAAUUAAGGCCUGCCCAUGAACCAACAUGUACCUGUCAGCAUGUAGCUGUUUCUACAAACUCAAUGACUUUGGGGAGAAAUUAGUUUGAAUUCCAGCUAAGCUUGAACAAAUUGCAAAGUGGUUCACGAGACACACCCAGGUUUCUCUUUGACCUGACAGUAUUAUGUCGAGAAACGUUUUUAAUGAUUACACAGAGAACUGUCAUACUGUGGGAGGGAAUCUAUAAUGAAUCUCGAAUGCUGUUUUCAUAUGGUUCUUGAUACUUGGAACACGUUCAGUGCCAAAUAAAUUGAUCGAGUGUUUUGGGAUUAAUUGUGCCAGUCAGUUAUUAUGAACAUGCUUUAAAUAAUAAAAUGAUUUGUCAUUAAAAUCUCGUCUGCUAUUGUGAUCAACUUAUAACUAUGUAGUCUAACAUUCUGACAUAUGCUCAAAUCCACUGUAUUCUCUUUAACGGUUCAGUAGAGGCACGAGGCAGCACGGUUUGUAUCCCAGCUCUCAAAACAAUUAUGUCUCUUUAAAUACCCUUUCUAUCGCCAGCGGCCAUCCCUGUGGCUCGGACGAUCGCUUAAAGUUUAAUGACGCCAGCUUCAGGGAAGCCUUUAUUUCCCUUCCACUUGUGUUUGUCCCAUGAUUUGCUAAAAUUUAACAUCCAGCAAGUGCACUGGGAUUAAUAAAAAGGAAACAGCAGAUUUUAACCGCUUCAGUAAGUCAAAGUCUAGUUCUGAACAUUUAAUUCAGGUCUAGACCAGGUUUUAGCCAGGUCUUUCCAGCUAAAUUUGAAUAUUUUCUUUGGGUCUAGAUAUGUUUUUGUAUAUUUGUCUGGUAACUAGAACUGGAUUUUGACUUUUACUUUGGGUCUAGAUAUUACAACUUUUUAUGCUUUUUAACCAUUUAUAGCUACAUUUAAUAUUGUGGAACAUCCAUGAAGCAAGUCAUCACAUUAUACAGUAGUGGUUAUAAACAGCACCAGCUUCUUUAUUUUU